rnacentral:tRNA from 1 species
GGUAAAAUGGCUGAUUAAGGCGAUAAAUUGUAAAUUUAUUUAUGGAAAUCUCCUUUUACUA